CCUGUGACUUUGAAUGUCUACAUCCGGCUGACGACGAAAGACAAAGUGAAAAAAGACAGACUGAUGGAAAAGUAUCCAUGCUUUGUAACGCUAAAGGGUCUUCACAACCACUCUCUUCAGUCUGCAGAAGCCCUCAACCAACUUAGGAUUCUUCCCGAAACAAAAGAAACUUUCAUCAAGUAUUUUGAGCAAGGAAUGUCAGUACCUCAAGCAUCAAGACAUCAUGUACUAAAGUUGGGGCUGUGUGAUGAUCUAUAUGGCCAGGCAAAUCAUGCAAUCAACCCAUCGGUCCGAGCUCUACAUCACAUGAGGCAACGAUGGAUCAAUGAACAACAUGGGGGACUUGAUAACUUAUCCAUGGCAGAUUGCAUUAGCAAAUAUGCCGCAAACAACCCAGAAGUGACAAUAAUACAGGACAUAGAAGAAAGUCGCUUUUCUGUGGUGCUGGUAACUCCUUUCAUGAGGAGAGUGCACACUCAGUUCAGAGAGGCUGGAGAAAUCGUCUUCGUGGAUGGCACAGGAUGUGUUGAUCAGCUCAAUACAUCUGUGAUACCCUUCCUCUGCGCUGGACCAGCAGGAGCUGCUCCUCUUGCUCUGCUGUUUACAUCUUCCCUAGAUGCAGCAAUGCUUACGAAAGGCUUUCGUAUGGUAAAACUAGCUGUCGGAGAAAAUGCGUUCUAUGGGACACAGUCACCAGAAACGUUCAUGACCGACAACUGCAGCGCUAUGAAAGGAGCCUUGGCAGCAACCUGGCCUGCA